CGGGUGGUGACCACCGGGAUGAAGGAGGUGCACUUUGUGUGCGAAGGUGGAGAGGAGGUGGCCGAGCUAUGGGUGAGGGGGAUCAGCCUGGUGACGAGGGCAGCAUUCGGUGGUAAGUGAGGAUGACAUGUGCAAGGUGUUUGUGAAAAUGAAGUUGUAAGUAGUAGAAAGGGUGGUAGUGUCGGCUCUCCGUUUUCUCUCUUUCCACUAUAAGCUUAUAACGCUGCAUAGUUUCCUUGGAUCAAUUAUGGCACACGAUUUGGUCUCCAUUAAAUCCAUCACAAAUGGCCAAACUUUCUGAAAAAAUUUCAUAAUAUUAAGAAUUUCUCAAAAAGCAUCAUAAGUUUGAGAAAUUUUUACGGAACACCUCUUUUUUUUUUUAAUUAUUAUUCUACAUUUG
rnacentral:lncRNA from 1 species